rnacentral:rRNA from 1 species
UACGUAGGGUGCGAGCGUUGUCCGGAAUUACUGGGCGUAAAGAGCUCGUAGGUGGUUUGUCACGUCGUCUGUGAAAUUCCGGGGCUUAACCUCGGGCGUGCAGGCGAUACGGGCAAUACUUGAGUGCUGUAGGGGAGACUGGAAUUCCUGGUGUAGCGGUGAAAUGCGCAGAUAUCAGGAGGAACACCAAUGGCGAAGGCAGGUCUCUGGGCAGUUACUGACGCUGAGGAGCGAAAGCGUGGGGAGCAAACAGGAUUAGAUA